AACGAACGCUGGCGGCACGCCUAACACAUGCAAGUCGAACGCCUGGCGCUCAGCAAUGGGUGGCGGGAGUGGCGGACGGGUGAGUAACGCGUGGGAACCUGCCUUGUGGUGCGGGACAACUCCGGGAAACCGGGGCUAAUACCGCAUGAUGCGCCUGGCAACGGGCGCUAAAGAUUCAUCGCCAUGAGAGGGGCCCGCGUCGGAUUAGGUAGUUGGUGGGGUAACGGCCUACCAAGCCUCGAUCCGUAGCUGGUCUGAGAGGAUGGCCAGCCACACUGGGACUGAGACACGGCCCAGACUCCUACGGGAGGCAGCAGUGGGGAAUCUUGCGCAAUGGGCGAAAGCCUGACGCAGCGACGCCGCGUGAGGGAUGACGGCCU
rnacentral:rRNA from 1 species